GAAAAAGGUUGCGAAGUUGCUUUUGUGUACAUGGUCACAUGAUCUGCAGGAAACACGUGGGCGUAUCAACUGCCACAUAAAAACUUUGUAGUAGAUCUUUACUUUUGUAUGAAAAUUAUGUAGCGCGUAGUUGUAAAAUAAGGUGAUCUUUACCGUAAACGAUACUUUUACAGAUAAAAUUUUGUAAAACAAGCAAAAUGCGCCUUAUUGGUUAUGCCUAUACGUCCCUGGUUAUGCUUUUUGUCUAUUAGGUAGUUCAGUGCUGAUUUGAUUUACAUUCACUGUACAUGUAUACACUCAAACAAGGACUGUGUGCAACACAUUUGCCAGAUUUCCGAUCCGGGACAUAUGGCAGGCCUUAGCUGCACCAGCUGCCAGAGGGGCUCCUAAAGGGAGAGGUGCCGCUGCCCCUGCAAAACCAGGGGCAGAAACUCCUGCUCUACCAGAAGCCAAAAAUAUCCAAUGAAGGAGGAGCCAACCAAAGAGGAGGCCGCCCCUUAACCAGCCCUUUAUUAGGCCCCGCCACAAUAAACACGAAGUCCUUCAGGCCCAGCCUUGGACUGGCCUGGGCACAUAGGACAGCCAAUGAGAUUCCAGAUGCCAAGAAAUAUUAUAAUGAGGUCAUCGCCAUAUCCCCAGAUGUAAAGGUUCUUUCAAAUUUUAAAGAAAUAUAAACAUUAAAUAAAGACGUGACACACUGAAAUUGUGAUUUACUGGUAGGUAAUAAGAUAGAUCAUCUAAAGUGUACAAAAGCAAUAUAUAUAUGUUCUUAUAAAAGCAUACAUAAUAUCUAUAUAUUUAAGAUUGCAUGCAUAUUAUUAAAUUCUGAUUUGUUAACUGUUUAUUGCAAGUCUGGACUACAUUAAAAUCAUUAAUUAUACGUUGAGAAUAUCACUAUUGAAAACGAAUUUUUAUCUGUGAACUUAUCGUGGUGUUCCAGUCCUUGCUGUCAUUAUGAAUAAAUCAAAACAAUUGUGAAA